AUGACGGUGGCCGUGUGCCAUGUCAUGCCGGCGCUGGACGUCCCUCCUCCUCACACUCGCCUGCCGGCGCCGAUGCCACCGCCGCAGCAGCUGGACAUGUGGAGCGCCAUGCAGGCCCCAGCCAACAACGACUGCGCCAACAAGCCCGAGCCGCCGGCGAUUAAGGCCAAGGCCACUUGCCCGAUGGCGACGGUGCGGCGGUCCAUGAGCCACGAGAGCCCCAGCCUCUGCACCGAGAGCCUCGGCUGCGAGACUGGCACCCGCGGCGACUUCCUUGACCUGGCAUCCCGGCUCUACGCGCCGCCCCCGCCCCACAAAACCGACGAUGCCGUCGCCGCCGACUUCUUCUCGCCGCCGGCAUUGGAUGACCAAGAGGAGGAGAAGGAUGAGGCAGCGGGCGAGCUGACACUGAAGGCGGUGCAGUACCACCGCGCCCGGCCGCAGCGCGCGUUCCCGCCACCGCUGCCGUCCAUGUCUCGCCGCGGCGGUGACGACGGCGGACCGUGCCUGCGGGUGCGCCCGCACCGCCGAGACGGGCGCCUCGUGCUGGAGGCUGUGGCCGCGAAGCUCCAGGGCUACCUCCAUGCCCAGCGCCAGGAUGGCCGCCUCAAGCUCUGUUUCGUGGACUGCUCCCCUGCCUUGGGAUCUGUUCUCGACCACCAGAAGCAGAGCAUGGUGCAACAGCCACACCACGAAGAGAUGCUGCAAGGACGCAAUAGCGUCGACGAGGAACAAGAUGUCUUCGAGGAGGAGGACGAGGAGGACGAGGUGGAGGUGGUAGACAGGGGCACGGUGGUGGAGGUAGUUGCGGCGUCUGGCAAGGCGCAGCGGUGCUCCAGGAUCGUCAUCAACAAGUUCGUGGGCGGCGCGCCGACCACCACAGACGACGCGUCGCCAUCACGCUGCUGCAGAACUACCGAGGACGAAUUAGCCGCUCCGACCGUGACGCCAGGGCUGCGCCGGGUGCCGUCGUCCACGACGACGCUGGCGGCCACGGUGGCGGCCGCGUCCACGGGCAUGCAGUCCGACGAGGAGGACGAGGAAGAGGCUGACCAGAAGGGCCAGGAGGAGAGCGCGCCGCUGCUGUUCACGUCGCGGGUGGGGGACAGGGAGGAGCUGGUGCAGAGCGUGCGGCGGUGCCAACAGCUCCGGCAGAGGCCGCUCUUCAUUGUGGAGUCAUACUCCAUCAUCGCCGCCUGA
rnacentral:rRNA from 1 species